UCCAGACUCCUACGGGAGGCAGCAGUCGGGAAUAUUGCGCAAUGGAGGAAACUCUGACGCAGUGACGCCGCGUAUAGGAAGAAGGUUUUCGGAUUGUAAACUAUUGUCCACAGGGAAGAAAAAAGACUGUACCUGUGAAGAAAGCUCCGGCUAACUACGUGCCAGCAGCCGCGGUAAUACGUAGGGAGCGAGCGUUGUCCGGAUUUACUGGGUGUAAAGGGUGCGCAGGCGGCUCUGCAAGUCAGGCGUGAAAGCUAGGGGCUCAACCCCUAAAUUGCGCUUGAAACUGUGGAGCUUGAGUGAAGUAGAGGCAGGCGGAAUUCCCGGUGUAGCGGUGAAAUGCGUAGAGAUCGGGAGGAACACCAGUGGCGAAGGCGGCCUGCUGGGCUUUAACUGACGCUCAGGCACGAAAGCAUGGGUAGCAAAUGGGAUUAGAUACCCGAGUA
rnacentral:rRNA from 1 species